CCUACGGGUGGCAGCAGUCGAGAAUCAUUCACAAUGGGGGAAACCCUGAUGGUGCGACGCCGCGUGGGGGAAUGAAGGUCUUCGGAUUGUAAACCCCUUUCAUGUGGGAGCAAAUUAAAAAGAUAGUACCACAAGAGGAAGAGACGGCUAACACUGUGCCAGCAGCCGCGGUAAUCCAGAGGUCUCAAGCGUUGUUCGGAAUCACUGGGCGUAAAGCGUGCGUAGGCUGUUUCGUAAGUCGGGUGUGAAAGGCGCGGGCUCAACCCGCGGACGGCACAUGAUACUGAGAGACUAGAGUAAAGGAGGGGGAACCGGAAUUCUCGGUGUAGCGGUGAAAUGCGUAGAUAUCGGGAGGAACACUCAUGGCGAAGGCGGGUGCCUGGACAUUAACUGACGCUGAGGCACGAAGGCCAGGGGAGCGAAAGGGAUUAGAUACCCGUGUAGUC
rnacentral:rRNA from 1 species